rnacentral:sRNA from 1 species
CUUCGUCGAUCUGCUGCGGGCUGAUGAAGUGGAUAUGCGUAUCGAUGCCGCCCGCGGUGACGAUGAGGCCUUCGGCCGCAAUGACUUCGGUGGCCGUGCCGAUGGCGAUGUUCACGUUCGGCUGGAUAUCAGGAUUGCCUGCCUUGCCGAUGGCGAAGAUGCGUCCGCCCUUGAUGCCGAUAUCGGCCUCGACGAUGUCCCAGUGAUCGAGGAUCAGCGCGUUGGUGACGACGGUAUCGACGACAUCGGCCGAGGGGCGUUGCGACUGGCCCAUCCCGUCGCGAAUG